rnacentral:lncRNA from 1 species
UCCGUUGGGAGACAAGCGGGAUGAUGGUCUGGACCAUGCUGGUCAGGGUCCGGACUUGGUGGGCGAGGUCGUGAAAAGCUUCGGGCGAUACCGACGACGGGCCGGUGGGUGCGCCGUCGGGAGGCGACAAGCCUGGGUCAUUGAACAGUUGCCAGUAGCGUUCCGACACCGCUGCGGGGCGUUCGUCGCGAGCUUCGUCCUGUGGGGGGUGUUCCCCCGAGGCGGGGAGCCCAGCGGUUGAGGACUCGCCGAGGUGGAUUCGUUGGUUACCUGACAUUUGGGGCCCUCCUUCUAGCGCCAAUCUGUUACGGUAAGUAACUUUUUAGCCGUGACCUCGAGGUCGACGCGGCUGGUUCAAGGCUCCAAAUGGCUAGGUUCAGACGUGGUUCCUCCUUGGGGUCCUAAGAUGGCGGACGCAGUGGGCCCGGCUAGGAAGCUCCGCCAUGCCGAGAGGGCUCAGCUACGGUCGCGUGCCUGCACACAGGUCGGGUCGGUAGCUCGGCCCGACCCCUCCGACGAUCGAGUCAUUGAUGUGGAGUGGAGUGUUGAGUGAGAGAGCCCCCCCUCUUCGUUAGGAAUCAGGGGGUAUUUAUAAGCGGG